GGUCUGUUCAUCAAUUCUUUAUCAGUCGUUAACACAGAAAAGAACUGAGUCACUUGUGUUAAGUGGGUCGCUGGCUUGUCUCGGUCUAAUAUGAUCCACUGAUCACCGGAACCACUCGGGAAACCCCCCACCCGGAUCCUACGGAUCCACACCGGUCGGGAAGAGUUGCUCGGACCUCGGUCCGGCUUCUUUCACUCUUCUCAAAAAGUAAGUGUUGGCCGUCGUUUGGAUCCGUGCGUGAUGAGGCUCCGUGCGUGAGUGCUGCCUCUGUUCCGCUGAUAUUCUGGGAUGUACCGCACGCAUUCCUCUGUCCCGAGCUGUCGGAGCAGGUGUGAGGACCUUACCGAGCCUGGGUCCGAAUCCCUCCCGAGAGCCGCACCGGUCCGGACCGUCAGCGCGUCCUGGAUGCGGAGCAACUUGGAAAGUCCGGCGGCCACACCUUCGAUCUGCCGAGACAAAUCAGAUAAUCCCCAUGACAACAGCUGCGACCGGACGGCACGAGGAGCGGCGCGAGACCGCGUUUUGCUGAGCAGGAGGACGCUUCCCUCCACUGAUCCCAUUAAGGCUCGGCGGUUUUCCACGGACCCGGAGUCACGCGCAUCAUCACACACAUCCGUGUUUUUUAAUAAAAACGCAAUGAGAAAAGAAGAGAAGGGGGCGGAGGAGGAAGAAGAAAGGCCGGGCUUCACAUGGAAGAGGAACCUGGAGGUAGGUGUCCUACUUGGCAGCGCUCUUCCCAAGUUCGGCUCCUUCUGAUGUUCUUGGCCAGAAACUUUAUUUAAAAGCACAUUUGAGGAGUCUCAGAUGUUCCGAGAUCCAACACCCACAUGUGUUUGUGUGUGUGUGUGUGCGUGUUUGUGCGUGUGUGUGUGUGUGUGUGUGUGCGUGUUUGUGCGUGUGUGUGUGUGUGUGUGUGCCAGCAACGCUCAGAUUGACUUGACUCCCUCACUUCAAUGUCUUUGUGGGUCUGCUUGUGUAUCCCAUAACCAACAUGGGGGGGAUUCAACUGGUCACUGAUCCCUGAUUCACCGAGCAGCUGAUGGAGACAUGGAGCAAGAAGCCCCGCCCCCAAAUGCUCCACGCCCCCCCCCCAGGGAGGUCGCUGGGAACCCACCCUGAAAAUGGAGGCCGGUCUGGCCUCCUGCCACCACGAUCACCCGGGUAAGCGCAGAGAUUAUCAACCGUCUACCAUCUACCCGACACAGGCGCUUCACCAUGCCCCCCCACCAUCUGCCCCCCCCCCAUCUGCCCCCCCCAGCGUCCAGGGAACGCCGGAGUCGACGCUCAUCACUGACAAACUGUCUGUCACAGACGCACAGAAGCCGAGCAGAAAUCAAACCGCUCGUUCAGGUUCCUCCCGCCCACCCGGGUGCUGGAGCCCCCCCCCCACACCCCCCCACCCCGUGAGGGGGGGCCCAGUGGAUUGAAAAAGAUGUGCGUAUGAAUAAUAAAUCUAUGACAGCUGUACAUUUUUAAUUGAUUCUUUCCAAGUACAAACAGCCCGAGAUGGCGCCGCUCCUCCGGCUCCUCAGGCCCCAGCGGCGCCGGGCUCAGCUCCUCUGAUCACCGAUGGAUUUAUUGCCACUGAAGCUGGAGUGAAAU
ensembl:lncRNA